rnacentral:lncRNA from 1 species
AUGAUCGGACAGAAGAACAAACGCAAUAGUCUAAGGCGUAGCAGUCGCCGUGCCAUGCAGGCCACGUUGACCUACCCUGAGGUGAUCGUUCGGAGUGUGGAGAUGACAUCGGUCAGUCGGAGAGACAUCUCCUCUUCGAUCAGCAACAACACCUACAACCGAUACUUGCUGGAGAAACAACAGAAGAUAGAGUUGGUUUGGUUCCAGAAGACAGGGAAGAAAUCAACUCUGGCUGUCGGAGCAACCAGUCCAACACCUGCUGUGUUCAAUGUCACUAAGGGUCUAUCUGACAAGCAGUGGCAGUCCAUACAAGGGGAGAUGCCAGGCAAUAUGACAAGAGAGGACUUUAAUGAGACCUGCAACACCAUCCUAUCAUGGGUGAAAGAGGCCGUUGGGACUGCUGUGAAGCCUGCCCUGGACCUGACCUGGGAAAUCAUCACCACUAACGGAUCUUCAAUAUUGUCCACCCCCUCCAGCUGUUCACGAACAGAGGAAUGCUCAGUUGUGAUCUGUCCCUUUCCAUCAAGGUAUUUUGAACGUAAUAGUACUCUAUGGUCAGUGGUAAGAACUUUGACCUGUGUUAAUUAUCACAUGUCAUACAUUGACUGUACUGCUACUCUGCUGUUCUCUGAAUUGUAUUUAUUAUGGAUCCCCAUUAGCUG